rnacentral:rRNA from 1 species
GACGAACGCUGGCGGCGUGCUUAACACAUGCAAGUUGAACGAGGGUUUCGUUUUCGGAUGGAACCUUAGUAGCGGACGGGUGAGUAACGCGUGAGCAACCUACCUUUGUGAGGGGGACAACAGCUGGAAACGGCUGCUAAUACCGCAUAAGACCACGGUAUCGAAUGGUACUGAGGUAAAAGAUUUAUCGCACAAAGAUGGGCUCGCGUCCCAUUAGCUAGUUGGUGAGGUAACGGCCCACCAAGGCAUCGAUGGGUAGCCGACCUGAGAGGGUGAUCGGCCACACUGGAACUGAGACACGGUCCAGACUCCUACGGGAGGCAGCAGUGGGGAAUAUUGGGCAAUGGGCGCAAGCCUGACCCAGCAACGCCGCGUGAGGGAAGAAGGUCUUCGGAUUGUAAACCUCUGUCCUUGGGGACGAAAGAAAUGACGGUACCCGAGGAGGAAGCUCCGGCUAACUACGUG